rnacentral:rRNA from 1 species
UACGUAGGGCGCAAGCGUUGUCCGGAAUUAUUGGGCGUAAAGAGCUCGUAGGCGGCCUGUUGCGUCCGCUGUGAAAUCCCGGGGCUUAACCCCGGGUCUGCAGUGGAUACGGGCAGGCUAGAGGUAGGUAGGGGAGAAUGGAAUUCCCGGUGUAGCGGUGAAAUGCGCAGAUAUCGGGAGGAACACCGGUGGCGAAGGCGGUUCUCUGGGCCUUACCUGACGCUGAGGAGCGAAAGCGUGGGGAGCGAACAGG